rnacentral:misc_RNA from 1 species
UCAGCAUCCCCGAAUCCGCCAUUGUCGCGCUGACCGCGCUGACUUUCCUGAUCCUCUACAACGCGGUGUCGAUGCGGCUGCGCGAUCGCACCGAUGUCGGCGGCCAGAUCGCGGAUCUGUCGCGCGGCACNNNNNNNNNAGGUCGCCGAGUUCGGACGCCGCAUGAGCGCCAUCGAGACCCGUCUGUCGGCGAUCGACGC